UACGUAGGGUGCAAGCGUUGUCCGGAUUUAUUGGGCGUAAAGAGCUCGUAGGCGGUCUGUCGCGUCGGAUGUGAAAACCCAGGGCUCAACCCUGGGCCUGCAUUCGAUACGGGCAGACUAGAGUAUGGCAGGGGAGACUGGAAUUCCUGGUGUAGCGGUGAAAUGCGCAGAUAUCGGGAGGAACACCGGUGGCGAAGGCGGUUCUCUGGGCCUUACCUGACGCUGAGGAGCGAAAGCGCGGGGAGCGAACAGG
rnacentral:rRNA from 1 species